GACACACUUCCUGUUGCUCUCCUGAAACAGGUGUACUUGCUCUUCUUUUUCUGUGCAGGACACACUUCCUGUGUUGCUCCAGUGCAGAACACACUUCCUGUUGCUCUCGAGACAGACGUACCUCCUGUUUUUCCUCACUGCAGGAAACACUUCCUGUGUUUCUCCUGUGCAGGACACACUUCCUGUCACUCUCCCGAGACACACGUAGUUCCUAUUCUUCCUCUGUGCAGGACACACUUCCUGUGUUUCUUCUGUGCAGGACACACUUCCUGUUGCUCUUCAGAGACAGACCUACUUCCUGUACUUCCCCUGUACAAGACAGACUUCUUUUACUUCUCCUUUUGGGGACACACUUUCUGUUGCUCUCCUGAGACUGCCCUUCCUGUUCUUCCUCUCUGCAGAACACACUAUGUUUCUGCUGUGCGGGACACGCUUUCUGUCGCUCUUCUCACACAGACCUACUUCCUGUUCUUUCGCUGUGCAGGACACACUUUCUGUGUUUCUCCUGUGCAGGACACACUUCUUGUUGCUCUUCAGAGACAGACCUACUUCCUGUACUUCCUCUGUGCAGGAUACACUUUUUUUUUCUUUUGCAGGACACUUCCUGUUGCUUUCCUGAGACUGACCUACUUCCUGUUCUUCCCCUCUGCAGGAUACACUUCCUGUUGCUCUUCCAAGACAGACCUACUUCCUGUACUUCCCCUGUUCAGGAUGGACUUUCUUUCUGUCUCCAUUGCAGGACACACUUCCUGUUGCUCCCCUGAUACUGACCUUCCUGUUCUUCCUCUCUGCCUAACACACUUCUUCUGUUUCUCCUGUGCAGGACACACUUCCUGUUGCUCUUUUGAGACAGGGGUACUUACUCUUCUGGGUCCGUGCCGGACCCACUUUCUUUGUUUCGCCUGUGCACGACACAUAUCCUGUUGCUCUUCUGAGACAGACAUACUUUCUGUUUUUCCUCUGUGCAAGACACACUUCCUGUGUUUCUCCUUUGCAUUACACAUAUCCUUUGGCUCUUUUAAGACGUACUUUAUGUUCUUCCUCUGUGCAGGACACACUUCCUGUGUUUCUCCUAUCCGGACAACUUUCUGUUUCUCUCCUGAGGGAGACUUGCUUUCUGUUCUUUCUCUGUGCAGGACACACUUCCUGUGUUACUCCUGGGCAGCACACACUUCCUGUUGCUCUGAUGAGACAGACCUACUUCCUGUACUUUUGCUGUGCAGGACUGACUUUCUGUGUUUCUCUUGUGCAGGACACACUUCCUGUUGCUCUCCUGAGACAGACGUACCUCCUGUUUUUCUUCUGUGUAUGACACACUUCCUGUGUCUCCUGUGCAGGA
rnacentral:lncRNA from 13 species